GCAGCAAUGAAUAGAGACCUUUGAAGACGAAAGCAGUAAUAUUUCACAGGAUGCCAGGUGACUGCCAGUAAAAGAGUCUGUGGAGGAUAGGAACCACCCAGGCUACAGUGGGAACUGCGUGGGCCUUCUCACUAAGAAAACCGACCUUGCUAUGAAGCUCUCUCUGUCCGCGCAUGUACGACGCAUCUCUCACAGGCACUGCGAUCCAGAAAACUCAAGUGGCCGUCUCCAUUGCGGUCAUCUGGACUUCCAGGCAAACAGGACACACAGGGGACAAUGAGCAGGAUCAUCUUCUCAAGUUCUGUGCCAGAAAAACCCCAUUGAGAUUUUGCCUGCAAUUACAUUAAAUAUAUGAUCACUUUGGUAAGAAUUUGUAUCUUUGCUCUACUGAAUGUUUCAUUAAAGAA